rnacentral:RNase_P_RNA from 1 species
GUGACCGCUCAUAACCUUGUUGAUGAUAACUUGGUUGUGGGAGGCAAAGUCCGGGCUCCUCCGGAAAAGAUGCCGGGUAAUAACCGGGCAGUACGGGUAGGUGCAUGACGCUGAGCAAUCAGUUUUAUACAUACCCCUGAACUGACAGAUAGUGCUACAGAAAAUAACCGCCAAUUACAAGGAUUGGUAAGGGUGAAAAGGUGGGGUAAGAGCCCACCGCACUUUUGGAGACAGAAGUGGCAUAAGUAAACCUCAUCUGGAGCAAGACCGCAUAGCAGUUGAUUUCCGGGUCUUAUACUGCGGGUAGGUCGCUGGAGGCAUUGAGCAAUCAGUGCUGCGGAUAGAUGGUCACGGGAAGACAGACCUUUGUGUUUGUUCUUCUUUCCAGAACCCGGCUUAUUCGUU